UUCAACUUGAGAGUUUGAUCCUGGCUCAGAGCGAACGCUGGCGGCAGGCUUAACACAUGCAAGUCGAGCGGGCCCUUCGGGGUCAGCGGCAGACGGGUGAGUAA
rnacentral:rRNA from 1 species